rnacentral:rRNA from 1 species
GACGAAGGAUGCAAGCGUUAUCCGGAUUCAUUGGGUUUAAAGGGAGCGUAGGUGGCCUGCUAAGUCAGCGGUGAAAUCUCUGGGCUUAACCCAGAAAUUGCCAUUGAUACUGGUGGGCUUGAGUGCAGUUGCUGUUGGCGGAAUAUGACAUGUAGUGGUGAAAUACAUAGAGAUGUCAUAGAACACCGAUUGCGAAGGCAGCUAACAAAACUGUAACUGACACUGAGGCUCGAAAAGUGUGGGGAUCAAACAGG